rnacentral:rRNA from 1 species
GCAUCGAUGAAGAACGUAGCGAAAUGCUAUACUUAGCGUGAAAUACAGAAUCUCGUGAACCAUUAAGUCUUUGAACACAAGUUGCACCC